rnacentral:misc_RNA from 1 species
CACCAGUACCAAGGUUUCAUUAACGGUGCGCUAGGAAAGGUGAUCACACUGUUCGGCCCACAAGGUAUUCUCCACCUGAGCUGCAGAUAGUAGUAGGAGGCGUCCAUCUGGUAACCCAGAGGUAGGCGGUAGGAGCCGUCAAGCUUGGUGCCAUUUGCAGGUGGAUGGAAAAGUGGGCGACCAAGCAAGUCCGGGAAGUAGCUGGCCAGAAAGCCCUGAUCUGCACCAUCCGGG